GAUACAAGAAUGCUAGUAAGACUGAUGUGAGAUGUAGUUGGUUGAAACGCCCAAAGUCUCAACCUAAGAAUAUUGAGACAACUGAGGAAAUGUAUCCAUCUUCUGAUCCAACUUAUAGGAUUGUGUCUACAUGAAUCUAGAGUUAUAGGAGCUUCCCCAGAUGGCAUUGUCAAUUAUCAGCCAUGUUGCCCACCAGAUAUUCUGCAUUUCCAGUCAGAGACAGCUAAGUACUUGAAACCUGUCCUGAUUGAAGUUAAGUGCCCAUACUCAGCUAGAGAUAUGACGAUAACAGAUGCAGUUGAAGUUGUCCAAGAUUUUUUCCUUGAAAAAGUAGCUGAUCAAUUGCAUUUAAAAGAAAACACUGAUUAUUAUCAUCAAGUCCAAGGACAACUUUAUAUUGCAAACAUAAUGUACUGUGAUUUGGUAGUAUGGACAUAAGAUCUCGCAUUUAUCCGUAUUGCAAGGGAUUAUAACUGGGCGAUAAA